AUCCCCAUAGCUCAAAUGGAUAGAGCAGCGGUUUCCUAAACCGCUUAUCCAGGUUCAAUUCCUGGUGGGGAUACCA
rnacentral:tRNA from 1 species